rnacentral:rRNA from 1 species
UACGUAGGGGGCAAGCGUUGUCCGGAAUCAUUGGGCGUAAAGCGCGCGUAGGCGGCCUCGGUAAGUCCGCUGUGAAAGUCAAAGGCUCAACCUUUGAAUGUCAGCGGAUACUGCCGGGCUAGAGUCCGGAAGAGGCGAGUGGAACUCCCUGGUGUAGCGGUGGAAUGCGCAGAUAUCAGGAGGAACACCGAUGGCGAAGGCAGCUCGCUGGGACGGUACUGACGCUGAGGCGCGAAAGCGUGGGGAGCAAACAGG